GCCGUUAAUGGUCACAUUAAGUGAUUGUUGAUAAUUAUUUUUGUGGUAAGGGUUAUAUGUUGUGUAUAUCGAGCAGGUAACCACUAAUGAUCACUGAGGAGUGAUUGAAAAUUAUUUUUGGUGAGUGAUUAUAAGCGGUGUGUUUUCAGCAAUCAACCACAAGGGUUACUCGAUUUCAAUUGUUGAACGAUAAAGGCAAGGUCAUAGCACGAGAGUUGGGAGCCGGUUGGAGAAUCUUAUCAUGGGGCAAUUCUGGCAACUUAGAGUUUUUUUUUUCUUCCAUCUUGUCUCCCGUGUUCGAUCUAGAUCGAUCUCUACCAUGUCGUGAUUAAAUAUAUCGUAACUUAUUAAUUUAAAUUUCUUAAUAAUCAUGAUUUUAAAGAUAGUGUCCACUUUGAGCGUGGACAAGCUCUCAUGGCGGCCUCAUACUAAUGGAGAUAGUAUUCAUCGA